rnacentral:rRNA from 1 species
AUGUAUGAUGGAUCUGCUGUGGCAUGCUAUGAUCAAUUGCGUUUAACUAAACGAAACUUUCAUGACCUUUGCACCAUGUUAAGGGAGAGAUGUGGCCUUUGUGAUAGUGUAUAUGUGACAGUGGAAGAGAAAGUUGCAAUGUUCUUGCUUGUAAUUGGUCAUAGUAAUAAGAUGAGGAUGUUGCGUGGCACCUACAAGCGUUCUUUAUGGACCAUUAGCACACACUUCUCUGCUGUCCUAAACGCCCUACUCUCUCUACAUGGGGAGUUCAUUAAGUUACGUUCCUCUACCGCUCAAGCUCCUGAUGAUUACAAAUGGAAGUGGUUUGGUAAUGCACUUGGAGCACUAGAUGGUUGUCAUAUUGACGUGCUUGUUGAUGUGGCUGACCAAGGAAGGUAUAGGAACAGAAAGCAAGCCAUUACCACUAACAUGCUAGGUGUUGUUGAUUGGAACAUGAAGUUUAUUUUUGUGUUACCUAGCUGGGAGGGUUCAGUUUCAGAUUCGAGAGUUUUGCGUGAUGCAAUGAGGGCGAACCGCCAUGAUUCAUUUGUUGUGCCUAAGGGGAAAUAUUAUUUAGUUGAUGCUGGUUAUACCAAUGGAGAAGGAUUUCUAGCUCCAUUCAGGUCCACUCGGUAUCAUCUAAAAGAAUGGGCUGCAAGUGUACAACAGCCUCAAAUAGCUAAAGAGUUAUAUAAUUUGCGUCAUUCUCGUGCUAGGAAUGUAGUGGAGCGAACAUUUGGCUUGUUCAAGAAAAAAUGGGCUAUCUUGCGUUCCCAAACCUUCUUUGACAUAAAGGAUCAGAUUCGAAUUAUUAGUGCUUGUUGA